AGGCAGAGGUGGACUCUGAACUUGGUGAACGCAAAGACGAGGAAGUUGAUCCAGAUACCACAACUUUCAACACAGAACAAAAAGACGCACACUAUAUAGAGAAGGUAGAGUAUGAAGAGAGAAGUGAAAUCAUACAAUUUCAAUUUGAUGAGCUACCUACAGCACAAAAGCAGUUUAUCGAGGACAUCAGACGCGGGAUUCAAUCCGACUUGGCGGAUCAAGUGAUAAAGGCAAUAUGUAACGUUGUGCUCAAGGAGAUGGGUUCAAACCAAGCAGACGAAAUACGUAAUUACAUCUCGAAAUGUUCACUGUUUUGCUGGACUGCCCGUUCGCACAACCCACCCAUAUACGUCGACUUCAUGGAGGUUACAGAAAACAUGCGUUUUGACAUGAGCGUAUACAAGCCGUACACAAAGGCAGGACCCCUCGUAGAUUACAUUGUCUGGCCUCCAAUUUAUCUACAUAAAGGUGGACCUAUGCUUUCCAAAGGUGUUGCACAAGGGAAGAAGACUUAAAUGGACAUUCAGAGACUUGUUUUUUAUAUAUUAGUCAGAAACCAUUUUGCACAUUGUAUUAUAUGUUUGAAAAGGGACCUAAUAAUGAAAUCUAACCAUAAGUUAAAUUGUAUUUUGUGCUCUUUCUAUCGAAAUAAAAUAACAAUUAAGAAUAUGUGUAAAAAUAUAGUAGAAAAUUACAUUCAUUCAUAUACCUGUGUUAUUCACAUGGAGUUUGAAGCAUACUUAAUACUACUAACAUCUCUUUCGUAAAUAUCAUACAGAGUAUUGUUAAAAAAAACUAACAAUCUACGACCAUUUUUCAGACAUGACAAAUUUAUCUACAUAAUUAUGUAAUUGAUAUAAAAAGCAUUUAAUUCAUUCCUUUGCAAAAACUCUUAAAUACCUUUACUUAAACUGUAUCUGUUGUCGUUACAUAAAAUUUCUGAGAACAUGAACAUGAUCCUGCGAAACUGCAAACAUUCUCAUUUCGGGUUGAUGAAGUGAUUCUGUUAACAACACUUUGUGAAAAAUGUAAGUGAGUAACGGUCCAAUUAUAACACUUAAACUAUUUUAUUUAAUAUAGUUUGUAAGUGAAAGCGAUGCCUGUCUAAAUCAUAAUCAGUUUAAAUUAAUAAGUUACU